AGUUUGCAGGGCAGCAGUUGAAGAAGGAGCAAAAAGGGUUUUCUUGUGUGUGUUUCUUUGUGGCUGAUUGGCUGCUCUCCCUGUGCAAAGGUCAGAGGGGGCAGGGUUUCUGUUGAGGCAGGUGAUUAGCUGUGGGAGGAGCUUAUCAGAGUUUGCAGGGCUAGCGGCGCGCGCAGUUUGAUCCAUCUUUUAGAUUUAGGGGAGCUAGUCUCAAACGUUUGUUGGGGGAGACCUAGGUUUUUUUGUGGGGGGAGUUAUUUUUCCUGUCUUCACGCUUUUUAUGAUGGAGGACCGCUGUAGCCACCCCCAACGACACGUUCUCAAGAUGGAGGGGGAGGGAACAGCUGCAGUUGCCUGCGGUUCCUGCGCAAUGUUUGCCAUCUUGCCAAAGGUUGCAGGCAGCUUUACCUGCAGCAAUUGCAUGUUGAUUGCCCUCUUAAAAGACAAAGUCCAGCAACUGGAGGAACGUGUAGCUACGCUCCAAAGAAUUAGAGAGCUGGAGCUCUUCUUGGAAGCAACAGAGCACACCGUCUCCACCAAGGAGGAGACAGGGGACUCCCCUGAGAAGGACGCUAGUUCACCAACACAGGAGCCAGAUAUAUGGAGAAACGUGACUCAAAGAAGUAGGAGGCCCAGGGUUCGCUCUGAUUGUUUAGAAAUACACAAUCGCUUUGAGGUCCUCUCCCCUAGCAUGGAAGACGAAGAGCAGACUCCAUUUGAGGAUCUCUCCCUUAUUACAGUCGAUCAGGUAUAUGAAGACGAGCAGCAAAGUCAGUCCUCAGGGAAUGUGCAGGCGACCUUGGAGCGGACAGCUCACGGAAGAACCCCGACCAAACCUAAGAGGAGGCGUGUAGUGGUGAUAGGGGAUUCCCUACUGAGGGGAACAGAAGCAGUGAUCUGUGGGCCUGACAAGAUGUCUCGGGAAGUGUGCUGUCUCCCCGGGCUAAGAUCCAAGAUGUAACUGAACGACUGCAAGGAAUCAUAAAACCCACUGACAAAUACCCCUUCCUCUUGGUUCAUGUGGGAACCAAUGACACUGCAAGCAAUAGCCUCCAGAAGAUCAAAAGAGACUACGAGGCUCUGGGCAGGAAAUUGAAGCAAUUAAAUGCACAAAUUGUGAUCUCAUCUGUCCUCCCAGUUGAACGACGUGGCCCAGGGAGAGAGGGGAAAAUAGUGGAAGUGAACAGCUGGCUUCGCAAAUGGUGUAAACAGGAACGGUUUGGAUUCUUAGAUCACGGACUGCAGUUUCUUGAAGAUGGACUUCUGGCAAACGAUGGGCUGCACCUCACAACGGUUGGGAGAAAUGUUUUUGCCAAAAAUCUCAGAAACCUCAUCAGGUGGGCUUUAAACUGAGUAGUGUGGGGGAGGGAGACAGUGCUCCUGAAGGUAGGAGUCUAUCAAGUGAUGAAGAUGAUCAUCCAAAUGUCAUAGACCAAAUGGAGCAAACAGCACACAGACCUAGUGGUGGGAGGAAAAAAUCCUUAAAUAAGAGACACGGGGGGAAUGAUUAAUGGACUUCAAUGUCUGUACACUAAUGCGCAAAGCAUGGGAAAUAAACAAGAUGAGCUUGAGCUCUUGGUACAGCAGACUAAAUAUGACAUAAUAGGCAUCACUGAAACCUGGUGGGAUAAGUCCCACGAUUGGAAUGUAAUAAUGGGGGAUACAAUCUAUUUCAGAGAAACAGACCAGACAAGAAAGGAGGAGGAGUGGCGUUAUAUGUCAGGGAUGUGUAUACCUGUGAAGAGAUCCAAGAUUUAGAACCUCAAAGCCAAAGUGAGAGCAUUUGGGUCAAAAUUAAGGGAGAGAAGAAUAACAGUGACCUCAUUGUGGGAGUUUACUAUAGAUCCCCAAGCCAAACGGAGGACAUAGAUGAUGCCUUCCUGGAACAGAUGGCCAAGCAUGCAAAAGGAAGGGAGAUAGUAGUAAUGGGGGACUUCAAUUACCCGGAUAUUUGUUGGAUGUCAAACUCAGCCAAGAGCAUAAGGUCAAACAGAUUCCUCACUGGCCUUGCAGACAACUUCAUUGUCCAGAAAGUGGGAGAAGCAACAAGAGGAACAGCCAUUUUAGAUCUGGUCCUAACCAAUGUUGAUGACCUGGUUAGUGGGGUAGAAGUGGAAGGAUCAUUAGGCGCGAGUGAUCAUGCUCUUCUGAAGUUUACUAUACAGCAGAAAGGAGCAGCCAAGCAUACUAGGACUCAAUUUCUUGACUUUAAGAAAGCUGACUUCAUAAAACUUAGGGAAGUGCUGGGUGAGAUCCCAUGGACAGUAAUACUAAAAGGAAAGGGAGUUCAUGAUGGCUGGGAGUUUGUUAAGAGGGAGAUACUAAAAGCACAACGUCAGGCAAUACCAAUGAGACAGAAACAUGGAAGGUGCCUAAAGAAGCCAGGGUGGCUAUCUAAAGAACUUUUAACUGAGUUAAGAUUUAAAAAGGACGUGUACAAAAAAUGGAAAAGGGGGGAAACCACCAAAGAGGAAUUCAAACAAAUAGCCAGCACGUGUAGACACAAGGUCAGAAAAGCUAAAGCACAGAAUGAACUCAGGCUUGCUAGAGAGGUUAAAAGCAACAAAAAAGGCUUUUAUGGGUAUGUCAGUAGCAAAAGGAAGAACAAAGAAACAGUGGGGUCACUCAGAGGAGAAGAUGGUGAAAUGCAAACAGGGGACACAGAAAGGGCUGAACUCCUCAAUGCCUUCUUUGCCUCAGUCUUCUCCGAUAAAGAAAACAAUGCCCGACCUGAAGAAUUUGGAGCAAAUGAUUCAGCAAAGGAAACACAGCCCAGAAUAACUAAGGAGAUAGUACAAGAAUACUUGGCUAGUUUAGAUGUAUUCAAGUCUCCAGGGCCAGAUGAACUGCAUCCAAGAGUAUUAAAAGAACUGGCAGAUGUGAUCUCAGAACCACUGGCAGUCAUCUUUGAGAAUUCCUGGAGAACGGGCGAAGUCCCGGCAGACUGGAGGAGGGCAAAUGUUGUCCCUAUUUUCAAAAAGGGGAAAAGAGAGGACCCAAAUAAUUACCGCCCAGUCAGUCUGACAUCAAUACCAGGGAAGAUUCUGGAGCAGAUCAUUAAGCAAACAGUCUGUGAGCACCUAGAAAGGAAUGCUGUGAUCACCAAUAGUCAGCAUGGAUUUCUGAAAAAUAAGUCAUGUCAGACUAACCUGAUCUCGUUUUUUGACAGAAUUACAAGCCUGGUAGAUGAAGGGAACGCAGUGGAUGUAGCCUACCUUGAUUUCAGCAAGGCAUUUGACAAGGUGCCUCAUGAUAUUCUUGUAAAGAAGCUGGUAAAAUGCGGUCUUGACUAUGCUACCACUCAGUGGAUUUGUAACUGGCUGACUGACCGAACCCAAAGGGUGCUCAUCAAUGGUUCCUCUUCAUCCUGGAGAAGAGUGACUAGUGGGGUGCCACAGGGUUCUGUCUUGGGCCCGGUCUUAUUCAACAUCUUUAUCAACGACUUGGAUGAUGGACUCAAGGGCAUCCUGAUCAAAUUUGCAGAUGACACCAAACUGGGAGGGGUGGCUAACACCCCAGAGGACAGGAUCACACUUCAAAACGACCUUGACAGAUUAGAGAACUGGGCCAAAACAAACAAGAUGAAUUUUAACAGGGAGAAAUGUAAAGUAUUGCACUUGGGCAAAAAAAUGAGAGGCACAAAUACAAGAUGGGGGACACCUGGCUUGAGAGCAGUACAUGUGAAAAGGAUCUAGGAGUCUUGGUUGACCACAAACUUGACAUGAGCCAACAGUGUGACGCGGCAGCUAAAAAAGCCAAUGCAAUUCUGGGCUGCAUCAAUAGGAGUAUAGCAUCUAGAUCAAGGGAAGUAAUAGUGCCACUGUAUUCUGCUCUGGUCAGACCUCACCUGGAGUACUGUGUCCAGUUCUGGGCACCACAGUUCAAGAAGGACAUUGACAAACUGGAACGUGUCCAGAGGAGGGCAACCAAAAUGGUCAAAGGCCUGGAAACGAUGCCUUAUGAGGAACGGCUAAGGGAGCUGGGCAUGUUUAGCCUGGAGAAGAGGAGGUUAAGGGGUGAUAUGAUAGCCAUGUUCAAAUAUAUAAAAGGAUGUCACAUAGAGGAGGGAGAAAGGUUGUUUUCUGCUGCUCCAGAGAAGCGGACACGGAGCAAUGGAUCCAAACUACAAGAAAGAAGAUUCCACCUAAACAUUAGGAAGAACUUCCUGACAGUAAGAGCUGUUCGACAGUGGAAUUUGCUGCCAAGGAGUGUGGUGGAGUCUCCUUCUUUGGAGGUCUUUAAGCAGAGGCUUGACAACCAUAUGUCAGGAGUGCUCUGAUGGUGUUUCCUGCUUGGCAGGGGGUUGGACUCGAUGACCCUUGUGGUCUCUUCCAACUCUAUGAUUCUAUG
rnacentral:lncRNA from 1 species